UCACAAACCUAAUAACAUUCUCACUUUGUUUCCCUACCCUGCCGCCAACCCCAUCCCCCCUUUUCCAUUUCCUUCUUCAACAAUGUCUCUCUUCACAUGAAGAGAGCAAACCAGCUGAAUCACUGGCUAGAUAGCCCGAUGGCUUCUCUUUUUUUUCAGGUAUUGAGUGGGACUUUAAAAAUUAAAAUGUAAUAUUGGGAGGAACCACAGUUCGUCGAAAAGACAUUACAAAAAUGAGAUGAGAAUUCUUUCAAAAGUUUUUAAAAAAGUAUACAGGGUGCAUUUCAAUCUAUACAAUGCAAGAAGAUUAAGGAUUCAACCUUGAUGCAAAGAGUGAAAGUACUUCAUCCUUAACUGCAGAAGAUUAUCUGGUGGCGACAUCUGAAAUUCCCGGAUCAAAUACUUAGAACUUAGUUUUCUUUUGAUGUGGAAACCUUCAUAAUUUUAUAGAUUAUAGAUAAUGGUGCAUAAUUUGUAUUAUACUCCUAUUAGUUUGACAAGAAUGUGACUUUAAGUUUUUUCUAUUAUCUAGCUGAAUAUUAGCUACUAGUAUGUCUCUUGUACAAGAGUUACAUACUUGUGGAAGUGUGUGUAUUAUGUACUGUAAAUAGACAAUUGUAUAUUUUAGAAUUAAUUUAUUAAACUAUUUAGAUUUCAA